ACUAUUCUUUAUAUAGACAUUAACAACGCUGAAAGAAAAAAAGAACAAAAACAUCGAAUUUCAACUGUUUGAUUCAAAUUGAUUCUUCGUUACAAGACCCGUCGACUGUUCGUACUUCAUAGGCGAACAAGAUUUAAAUUGCUUGCCAAGUUUCACGUGGAAUAGCAAGCAGUUUAUGAUUUGAGCUUUGGUCGAUCUCCGUUUCUUCAUUCUCGGAGGUUUUUAUUUUUCAGAAUAAAAGAGUCGAACUGUUUUAAACUCUUAGACCGCAGUAGUAGUAUCAGUUAUUCAUGUCUUAGUCUUUUAUUUAUAUUUUUGACUAUUGUUGUUGGAUUUGUCCAACUAUUACUUUAUCGCUUUUGGCAUGAUUACAGUGUUUAUGGUAUUUAUAUUAUAUUGCCAUACUGUUGGAGAUUUUUCUGAGAUAAGCGUAAUUUAAAUAUAUAUUGCUUUAUGUA